rnacentral:rRNA from 1 species
AACGUAGGUGGCGAGCGUUAUCCGGAUUUACUGGGCGUAAAGCGUGUGCAGGCGGGGAGACAAGUGGUGUAUGAAAUUUCCCGGCUUAACCGGGAAGGGUUAUGCCAGACUGUCUUUCUGGAGUGCGAGAGAGGGGCGUGGAAUUCCGGGUGUAGUGGUGAAAUGCGUAGAGAUCCGGAGGAACCCCAGAGGCGAAGGCGGCGAUCUGGGCAGAUAUUGACGCUGAGGUGCGAAAGCGUGGGGAGCAAACAGG